rnacentral:rRNA from 1 species
UACGUAGGUGGCAAGCGUUGUCCGGUAUUUACUGGGCGUAAAGAGCGCGCAGGCGGUCGUUCAAGUCGCGUGUGAAAGCCCCCGGCUCAACUCGGGGGAGGGUCACGCGAUACUGAUCGACUCGAAGGGCAGGAGAGGGAAGUGGAAUUCCCGGUGUAGUGGUGAAAUGCGUAGAUAUCGGGAGGAACACCAGUGGCAGAAGGCGGGUCUCUGGACAGUUCCGUGACACUGAGGCACGAAGGUCAGGGGAGGCAAACGGG